rnacentral:sRNA from 12 species
AAGCAUUAAAGUAAGAUGUUGUGCCAGAAAGCAGUAUCUUAGUAGCUUAAUAUGGGUUUUACAUUUACCGCAAGCUGGCUAGAGAGAAAUUCUUGAAAGAAAAUGUUAAAA